AACCUCUACAUACAGGAUAGUGGCCCUCGAGGACUGGAGUUUGACACCCCUGAAUAUGAUCUCCUGGAGUUAGCUAGGGUCUUGUACAGGUGUACCAGCAUAUCUGAAACAGCAUAUGCUCAUUGUAUGCAGAGACACUGACAGCAACUCUUCAGCUGGCUAGCAUCCAGCUGCUCUUCUUUCCAGCAACAUCCUCACAUGAAGGAUUCAAUAUUACCCUUAAGGAUUGUCCUGGAGCGUGGAUCUUUACAAUGGACAACAAGAAGCUUUUGCAUCUCAAUUGUUGGAAGUAUCGGUAUGGAUAUAAAUAUACACUGAGUUGUUCACGGUCCAAAGACAUCAACACAUGCCUUGAAAUGAAAAUCACCACCUAUGGUUCACCUGCGCAGAAUAUCAAUGAGAAAAUGUGUAAAAGAUGCUGCAGCAGACGUGUUUCAUGUCCACCAACGUCCUGUGACAGCUCGUGUAAACAGAGUUUAGAAUUUCCCAUGGCAUCAAAUGGCAUUACAGCAGUUAAUCUGUGGUUUCCAAACUUUCCCACUGUCAGUACUGAGAAUGAAACAGGCAAGUACUUUUCAU